rnacentral:rRNA from 1 species
UACGAAGGGGGCUAGCGUUGUCCGGAGUUACUGGGCGUAAAGGGCAUGCAGGCGGUCGGACGCGUUUCGGGUGACAGCGGGUGGCUUAACUACCCGAGUGGUCGAAAGACGGUUUGACUUGAGGACGCGAGAGGGACACGGAAUUCCGGGUGGAGUGGUGAAAUGCGUAGAGAUCCGGAGGAACACCGAAGGCGAAGGCAGUGUCCUGGCGCGUAACUGACGCUGAGGUGCGAAAGCCAGGGGAGCGAACGGG